rnacentral:rRNA from 1 species
AUUGAACGCUGGCGGCAGGCCUAACACAUGCAAGUCGAACGGUAACAGGGAUCAGCUUGCUGAUUCGCUGACGAGUGGCGGACGGGUGAGUAAUGUCUGGGAAACUGCCUGAUGGAGGGGGAUAACUACUGGAAACGGUAGCUAAUACCGCAUAACGUCGCAAGACCAAAGAGGGGGACCUUCGGGCCUCUUGCCAUCGGAUGUGCCCAGAUGGGAUUAGCUAGUAGGUGGGGUAACGGCUCACCUAGGCGACGAUCCCUAGCUGGUCUGAGAGGAUGACCAGCCACACUGGAACUGAGACACGGUCCAGACUCCUACGGGAGGCAGCAGUGGGGAAUAUUGCACAAUGGGCGCAAGCCUGAUGCAGCCAUGCCGCGUGUAUGAAGAAGGCCUUCGGGUUGUAAAGUACUCUCAGCGGGGAGGAAGGGAGUAAAGUUAAUACCUUUGCUCAUUGACGUUACCCGCAGAAGAAGCACCGGCUAACUCCGUG